CGUAGGGUGCGAGCGUUAAUCGGAAUUACUGGGCGUAAAGCGUGCGCAGGCGGUUUUGUAAGACAGAUGUGAAAUCCCCGGGCUCAACCUGGGACCUGCAUUUGUGACUGCAAGGCUAGAGUACGGUAGAGGGGGAUGGAAUUCCGCGUGUAGCAGUGAAAUGCGUAGAUAUGCGGAGGAACACCGAUGGCGAAGGCAAUCCCCUGGACCUGUACUGACGCUCAUGCACGAAAGCGUGGGGAGCAAACAGGAUUAGAUACCCUGGUAGUCCACGCCCUAAACGAUGUCAACUGGUUGUUGGGUCUUUACUGACUCAGUAACGAAGCUAACGCGUGAAGUUGACCGCCUGGGGACGUACGGCCGCAAGGUUG
rnacentral:rRNA from 1 species